AACAAAGAAGUAAAAAAAAUUACAUUUAGUUUCGACCUAAAAAUAAGAAUUUAAUUCUCAUGUUU
rnacentral:tRNA from 1 species